UACAGAGGUCUCAAGCGUUGUUCGGAUUCAUUGGGCGUAAAGGGUGCGUAGGUGGCGUCGUAAGUGGGGUGUGAAAUCCCGGGGCUUAACCCCGGGACUGCAUUCCAUACUGCGGUGCUUGAGGACUGGAGAGGAGAGUGGAAUUCCUGGUGUAGCGGUGAAAUGCGUAGAUAUCAGGAGGAAUACCGGUGGCGAAAGCGACUCUCUGGACGGCAACUGACGCUGAGGCACGAAAGCGUGGGGAGCAAACAGG
rnacentral:rRNA from 1 species